GAUGAACGCUAGCGGCAGGCUUAAUACAUGCAAGUCGAGGGACAGCACAGGUAGCAAUACUGGGUGGUAACCGGCAAACGGGUGCGGAACACGUACACAACCUUCCUUUAAGUGGGGGAUAGCCCAGAGAAAUUUGGUUUAAUACCCCGUAAUAUAGUUGAAUGGCAUCAUUUGAUUAUUAUAGCUACGGCGCUUAAUGAUGGGUGUGCGGCUGAUUAGAUAGUUGGCGGGGUAACGGCCCACCAAGUCUACGAUCAGUAGCCGAUGUGAGAGCAUGAUCAGCCACACGGGGACUGAGACACGGGCCCGACUCCUACGGGAGGCAGCAGUAAGGAAUGUUGGUCAAUGGACGCAAGUCUGAACCAGCCAUGCCGCGUGAAGGAUUAAGGUCCUCUGGAUUGUAAACUUCUUUUAUUUGGGACGAAAAAGGGCCUUUCUAGGUCAACUGACGGUACCAGAUGAAUAAGCACCGGCUAACUCCGUGCCAGCCGCCGCCGUAAUAC
rnacentral:rRNA from 1 species